rnacentral:lncRNA from 1 species
AAACCGCAGUUCGCCGCCGCCGCCGCCGGGCACCCAGCCCCAGGGGGGCGGGCUGGAGGGAGGGGGCGGGCGCUGGCCGGGGGACCCCCGCAACCAUGGCGGGCGGGGAGUGGGCUGCCGAGCCGCUUCACCUGCCGCAGAGGGGGCGGCCGGCGCCGCUUCACCUGCCGGAGCGGGAGGCCACCGAGGCGAGGCCGAGGCGGCGGCGCGCUCGGCGGCGCCUCCGGGUCCUAGAACCGCAUCCUCCCGCUCGCCUCGGGCGAGGGAUUGGCCGGGUCUGGGUGAAGGGGAUCACGGCCUGGGGAUUGGAGGGGCACAUCUUCUCCGCACCGAGGAUCUCAGCGACUGCGAGCACGGCUCGGAGACCCACGGUGGUGCAGCGUUGGGGCGCCAGGGCUGCGUUCCCGUCUCGCGUCCCGGACUGAGAAGAGCCACUGACAAGACUUUAAGCAAGAGACGGAGAGUUAACAUCUAAUCUGGAGGAAGACCCUGGAAGGAGCCAGCCCCUUCCCCCAGGCUGACCUGGUUUAAGCCUUUCUUCUGCCAAGGUCACCAGCACCCCAGAUGGGUGAGAGAUGUGAUCACUGGUUUCGUGGCCUGACCAAGGACCUCCAAGAUUCUGUGGCAGAUGAGAAAUGCCUUGGUCCUUGGGCUGCUUGCAGCCUAGCGAGGGACAGACUUUUAACCUCUCUAGGAGAGUGGCUGCUUCAAGUCAUCCUAUGGGACCAGCUGUUCAUGCUUCCUCUUGCCCAGAACUACUUCUGUGAGAGGAAAAGAGAAGGGUAGGAGCGUGCCCUGCAGCUGGAAACCCAAGCCAGGCGGGGAGCCACGAAUGCAGUAGUUAUCAGACUGUAUCUUCAAUCCUGGGGGCUUCUCAAGCCAUUGCCAGCCACUCUUCACCCAAGGCCUGGUGGAAUAAAGCUGGGCUAAGUAACACCUCUUCUGUGGAAAAUUAUUGUUUCUGCAAGCCUAUAUUCAUUCUCCCUCUCUC